GCUAUGUUGUUGCCAAGUGCAAUAUGAAGCAUAUUGCACUGCUGAAAAGUCAUAUUGCACUGCUGAAAAGUCAUAUUGCACUGACCACCGGCAAAACGCCCCUCUGGCAUAAUUAAAUUAAAUAUUUUAUCAUGAGAAAUAACAAGUAUCAAAGUAAGUCCAGCCAUGCAGGAAUGUUCAGCACUGCUGGAGUUUCUUCUUUGCAACCAUGCAGGUUUUUAAAUCGUCCCAGGCUCAUUUUGUGAAGAUUCUGUGUUCCUAGACCUAGUCCUCCACUUUGAUGCACGGUCAAUUCUGGCUUCACCAUAUAGCACUAGAAGCGGCUCUUUUUGCAGGGGGCUUGAGCUGUUUUGCAGCAGUGUAGAGGCGAACUUCUUUGGCUUGGUUGUGAUGCCGAGGAUAGUGGAGGGGGCUGUUCGAGCAGCAGUUACACUGAGUAGUAUAGUGGGGUGGGGCUGUUUCUUCGCAGCAGUAAA